GACCUCAAAUCAGGUAAGAAUACCCGCUGAACUUAAGCAUAUCAAUAAGCGGAGGAAAAGAAAAUAACAAUGAUUCCCUCAGUAACGGCGAGCGAAGAGGGAUAAGCUCAAAUUUUAAAUCUGUUGGGUUCCACUCGACAGAGUUGUAUUUUGAAGAAACGUUUUCUGCAUCCAGGAUUAGCCUAAAUCCUUUGGGAUAAGGUAUCAUGGAGGGUGAGAAUCCCGUUCAUGGUUAAUCUUAAGGAAGCUCUACGAUACGUUUUCCAAGAGUCGAGUUGUUUGGGAUUGCAGCUCAAAAUGGGAGGUAAAUUUCUCCUAAGGCUAAAUAUUGGCGAGAGACCGAUAGCGAACAAGUACCGUGAGGGAAAGAUGAAAAGAACUUUGAAAAGAGAGUUAAACAGUACGUGAAAUUGUUGAAAGGGAAACGAUUGAAGUCAGUCAUACCAACGGGAAAUCAACCUUUUGAGCUCGGUCUCGUGGGUUUUGAAGAGUUUCAAAGCCUUCGGAUUCGCGGGAUUGGGAUCUCUUGGCGUACUUUUUCGUACGGUUAGUCAACAUCGGUUUUGAAUGUCAUAAAAUGACUGGAGGAAUGUAGCUUCGAUCUCGUAUUGAAGUGUUAUAGCCUUUGGUAGAUGUGAUGUUUGAGACCGAGGAUUGCAACGGAUACCCUUCAGGGCUAUUCGUCUGAUCUCUGAUACGUUGCCUUGAUGUUGAAAGCUUGCUUAUGAUGUUAGGGUAUUACGGUCAAAAGGUUAGAACGAAUUACAUUCGUUAAGGAUGUUGACGUAAUGACUUUAAACGACCCGUCUUGAAACACGGACCAAGGAGUCUAACAUAUAUGCGAGUGUUUGGGUGAUUAAACCCUUGCGCGUAAUGAAAGUAAUUUUGGUGAGAUCCGGGAAAAAAUUUUCGGAGCAUCAUCGACCGAUCAGGAUAUUU
rnacentral:rRNA from 1 species